rnacentral:rRNA from 1 species
AAUCAACGCUGGCGGCGUGCCUCAGACAUGCAAGUCGAACGAUUAAAGCUCUCUUCGGAGAGUGCAUAGAGUGGCGCACGGGUGAGUAACACGUAAGUAAUCUACCCUCGAGUGGGGAAUAACGUCCGGAAACGGACGCUAAUACCGCAUAAUGCAGCGGCACCGCAAGGUGACAGUUGUUAAAGAUUUAUCGCUUGAGGAGGAGCUUGCGGCAGAUUAGCUAGUUGGUAAGGUAAUGGCUUACCAAGGCUACGAUCUGUAACCGGUCUAAGAGGACGGUCGGUCACACUGACACUGAAUAACGGGUCAGACUCCUACGGGAGGCAGCAGUCGGGAAUUUUGGGCAAUGGGCGAAAGCCUGACCCAGCAACGCCGCGUGAAGGAUGAAGUAUUUCGGUAUGUAAACUUCGAAAGAAUAGGAAGAAUUAAUGACGGUACUAUUUAUAAGGUCCGGCUAACUACGUGCCAGCAGCCGCCGUAACAC